UAGAGCUUUCCCCUUCGGGGGACAAAGUGACAGGUGGUGCAUGGUUGUCGUCAGCUCGUGUCGUGAGAUGUUGGGUUAAGUCCCGCAACGAGCGCAACCCUUAAGCUUAGUUGCCAUCAUUAAGUUGGGCACUCUAAGUUGACUGCCGGUGACAAACCGGAGGAAGGUGGGGAUGACGUCAAAUCAUCAUGCCCCUUAUGAUUUGGGCUACACACGUGCUACAAUGGACAAUACAAAGGGCAGCGAAACCGCGAGGUCAAGCAAAUCCCAUAAAGUUGUUCUCAGUUCGGAUUGUAGUCUGCAACUCGACUACAUGAAGCUGGAAUCGCUAGUAAUCGUAGAUCAGCAUGCUACGGUGAAUACGUUCCCGGGUCUUGUACACACCGCCCGUCACACCACGAGAGUUUGUAACACCCGAAGCCGGUGGAGUAACCUUUUAGGAGCUAGCCGUCGAAGGUGGGACAAAUGAUUGGGGUGAAGUCGUAACAAGGUAGCCGUAUCGGAAGGUGCGGCUGGAUCACCUCCUUU
rnacentral:rRNA from 1 species